ACAAAGAAAUACCUGAGGCCGGGCAUGGAGGCUGACGCCUAUAAUCCUAAGCACUUUGGGAGACCAAGGAUCACUUGAGGUCAGGAGUUCAAGACCAGCCUGGACAACAUGGUGAAACCACAUCUCUCAUAAAAAUACGAAAAUUAGCCAGUCGUGGUGGCAUACACCUGUAGUCCCAGCUACUCAGGAGGCUGANNNNGUGCCACUGCACUCCAGCCUGGCGACAGAGCAAGACUCACUCUCAAAGAAAGAAAUUUCUUUGGCUGGGCGCGGUGGCUCACAUCUGUAAUCCCAGAAACUGUGAACAACUAGUUUCAGUAUCUUCUCUAGCAUGCCAGGGUAAAAUGAAGCAAAAUAAAUAGAGGAAGUGCUAUAAUCUUUAUUGAGGAUCUACCAGGUGCCAGGAA
rnacentral:lncRNA from 1 species